UGAGAGGGAGAAACUGUCUUUCCCUCAAAUAUGUAUAUAUACAUAUGUACGUAUGUCCAAGUAAAACGACAGAACCCCCCAAAAUAAGCCACUCCCACACCUUUUCCUGAUUGGCAGGUCUUAGUGGAGUGGCUGAUGAUGUAAAAAGGAAAUUGUAAUUUAAAAAUAAAGAGGAAUACAUU